GACGAACGCUGGCGGCGUGCUUAACACAUGCAAGUCGAACGGAAAGGCCCUGCUUUUGUGGGGUGCUCGAGUGGCGAACGGGUGAGUAACACGUGAGUAACCUGCCCUUGACUUUGGGAUAACUUCAGGAAACUGGGGCUAAUACCGGAUAGGAGCUCCUGCUGCAUGGUGGGGGUUGGAAAGUUUCGGCGGUUGGGGAUGGACUCGCGGCUUAUCAGCUUGUUGGUGGGGUAGUGGCUUACCAAGGCUUUGACGGGUAGCCGGCCUGAGAGGGUGACCGGCCACAUUGGGAAUGAGAGACGGCCCAGACUCCUACGGGAGGCAGCAGUGGGGAAUAGUGCACAAUGGGCGGAAGCCUGAUGCAGCAACGCCGCGUGCGGGAUGACGGCCUUCGGGUUGUAAACCGCUUUCGCCUGUGACGAAGCGUGAGUGACGGUAAUGGGUAAAGAAGCACCGGCUAACUACGUG
rnacentral:rRNA from 1 species